CCUCUACUGGUAUCUUCUAGUGAGCUCAACCCAAGGCUCCUCCACCAUCUGAGCUGGAUGCUUUGGAUGCCAUGUCUUUCAUCAUGUCAGACGCAGAUCUGGUUACUAGUGGUACAGCCGGAAUGUGAUAACUUCUAUGCUAUGCAUAAAGUUGAAAAGAGAUGCUGAGUGAUUUCCAUAAGCAGGAAGAGGCUCUACCUUGUCUCUUCCCUCCUUAC